rnacentral:rRNA from 1 species
GACGAACGCUGGCGGCGUGCUUAACACAUGCAAGUCGAACGGAAAGGCCCUUCUUUUGUGGUGUGCUCGAGUGGCGAACGGGUGAGUAACACGUCAGUACCCUUCCCUUGACUUUGGGUUACCUUCAGGAAACUGGGGCUAAUACCGGAUCGGAGCUCCUGCUUCAUGGUGGGGGUUGGAAAGUUGCGGCGGUUGGGGAUGGACUCGCGGCUUAUCAGCUUGUUGGUGGGGUAGUGGCUUACCAAGGGUUUGACGGGUAGCCGGCCUGAGAGGGUGACCGGCCACAUGGGGACUGAGAUACGGAGCAGACGGCUACGGGAGGCAGCAGGGGGGAAUUUUACACAAUGGGGGGAAGCCUGAGGAAGAAACGUUGCGUGCGGGAUGAAGGCCUUCGGGGUGUAAACCGCUUUCGCCUGUGACGAAGCGGGAGUGACGGUAAUGGAUAAAGAAGCACCGGCUAACUACGUG